GUAAGGAAUCUGGGACAAACCGCUAGUAAUCAGUGUGUGUGUUUGUGUGACAUGGGACUUUAGCCAUCUCCAGCGGCAAAAUCACUGUGGCCCCUGUGACAUUGAUCAACUCUUGUUGUAAUUAGACAUUGAGGCAUUUUGACUGUAAGGUAAACAUUUGUGUAAAUGUUGUUAAUCAUUAUCAUGGCAGACUGUGGGAAUUCAGUUGUAGUCUUGACCUUGGGCAUUGCUAAUCUGUAUCUACCAGUCCCAAUGUGACAGACGUAUGUAUAAAGACUAUUAUGAUGCCAAUCCUAGUGAAUUUAGAGAGGGUUUCCUUUAAACUGUGUAGCUAUUUAACAGUAGUCUAAUACAUAUGGAUAGACAAAAAUAAGCUAUUUCACAACUCUAUUUCAUUACCUCAGAGCUGGUGUUUUAUGGUUAAAAAAAUACAAAUAAAAAAGUGGGCCAGGGCUGAGUAAACAUAAUAAAUCAUUGACCAAGUUGAACUAAAAAGGUGGGGUCAAAGAGGAUAGCUUUGACCUUGCGUGGGUGGUCACAUGAUCAAAAUAGAAUGUGGGAGUGGUCAGUUUUUUUUGUUUUGAGCCCUUAUUGAUUUCAUUUUAUAAUCAAAUUUACCUAUCACAUAUGAGAGAAUCUGCUUCUAUGUUAUUGUACAUUGUCACUCAAUGGUCUCUCUAGGUCACUUCCAGGCAGGCAGGCAGGCAGUCCUCAGCUCCCAGAUCGAAAGGCCUAGUUAAUGAUUAACAAUACCAGUCAGAUUUAUUGUGUACAGUGAUGCUGUCAGGAAGCAUUUCCUUCUCUAGCCUGUCCGGGAAACACACACUCUACAGACACACUCUCAGGCUCUCUGCCUGUCUACAGCUACCAUACCGACACUUCUAGCUCUAGAUCAGACAGCUGCCAGAUGAAUCAGACCAUGCAACCCUCCCACAGCUCUCAUCCCAGGACACCUCUCAGUUCUGUCCAUCUGCGGGCCACAGAGACUGGCUCUGCCCUGUGUGUCUGCAAACUGCCAGCUUCCCUGUACAGACCAACUGGGGCCAUCUAUACUGUGCUCCCUGUCUGAUCUGUACUGGAGACUUGGGUCCUGGCUGGAUGCCAUCAGCUGCCCUCUGUGUAGACAAAGGGGAAGAAAGACACACCCAACUGUAGAAACAUCCAUUAUUACCAUGAUAUUACACUUGUUAUCCGACAAGAAAAAUAGCAAAAUUAUGUUGAAUAAAAGUGAUAAUGGUUCAGAAUUGAUUGAAUGUAACUUGAAUGGAUUUUCUCUCUCUCUCUCUCGUCUAUUUUGGUGAGGGUCGGUCAGACAGAAAGGAGAGGGAGGUUCUGGGAGAAUUUACAGACUACAACAAACGUUUUUAUUUUUUAUUUUUUAUUUUUAUUUCACCUUUAUUUAACCAGGUAGGCUAGUUGAGAACAAGUUCUCAUUUGCAACUGCGACCUGGCCAAGAUAAAGCAUAGCAGUGUGAGCAUACAACAAAGAGUUACACAUGGAGUAAACAAUUAACAAGUCAAUAACACAGUAGAAAACGAAGGGGGGGUCUAUAUACAAUGUGUGCAAAAGGCAUGAGGAGGUAGGCAAAUAAUUACAAUUUUGCAGAUUAACACUGGAGUGAUAAAAGAUCAGAUGGUCAUGUACAGGUAGAGAUAUUGGUGUGCAGAAGAGCAGAAAAGUAAAUAAAUAGAAACAGUACGGGGAUGAGGUAGGUGAAAAGGGUGGGCUAUUUACCAAUAGACUAUGUACAGCUGCAGCGAUCGGUUAGCUGCUCAGAUAGCUGAUGUUUGAAGUUGGUGAGGGAGAUAAAAGUCUCCAACUUCAGCGAUUUUUGCAAUUCGUUCCAGUCACAGGCAGCAGAGUACUGGAACGAAAGGCGGCCAAAUGAGGUGUUGGCUUUAGGGAUGAUCAGUGAGAUACACCUGCUGGAGCGCGUGCUACGGAUGGGUGUUGCCAUCGUGACCAGUGAGCUGAGAUAAGGCGGAGCUUUACCUAGCAUAGACUUGUAGAUGACCUGGAGCCAGUGGGUCUGGCGACGAAUAUGUAGCGAGGGCCAGCCGACUAGAGCAUACAAGUCGCAGUGGUGGGUGGUAUAAGGUGCUUUAGUGACAAAACGGAUGGCACUGUGAUAGACUGCAUCCAGUUUGCUGAGUAGAGUGUUGGAAGCCAUUUUGUAGAUGACAUCGCCGAAGUCGAGGAUCGGUAGGAUAGUCAGUUUUACUAGGGUAAGCUUGGCGGCUUGAGUGAAGGAGGCUUUGUUGCGGAAUAGAAAGCCGACUCUUGAUUUGAUUUUCGAUUGGAGAUGUUUGAUAUGAGUCUGGAAGGAGAGUUUGCAGUCUAGCCAGACACCUAGGUACUUAUAGACGUCCACAUAUUCUAGGUCGGAACCAUCCAGGGUGGUGAUGCUAGUCGGGCAUGCAGGUGCAGGCAAAUCCAAAUCCAAGAUGGCGUAGCAGUAAGUCGUCCUGUCGUGUCGUGUCCCUGUAUAUUUUGUUUAUAUUUUGUUUAUUUUUCGUUUUUUACAUAUUUUUCGUCUUUUACAUAGCUAUCCCUUUUUAAAAACAUUUUGCUAAACCUAAGCUUCCAAAUACGCUGGAUCUUCACAACUAGCUAUCUAGCUAAACCGCAACCCUGGACGACUACCCCUGGCUAGCGUUUCCACCCACUUAGCUUGAAGCUAGCCCGGCCUGCGCUACCACCGUAGCAUACUCCUGAGCUACAAUACCCGGGCCCACGACCGGUCUAUCGAUGUCACCGCAUGAAGAGGAAUAAACAGACUCACCCCAUCGCGACGUCCCCCAAAGGCUAACUCUCUAGCCCUCGCUAUCUCCCUGCUUGCUAAUUCGGCCUGCUAACUGCUAGCUUGUCCAGCUCCGGUCCGCUAACUGCUACCUUGUCUAGCCCGGGCCUACAAACUGUUAGCACAGGCCUGCUAACCGCCUGAAUCGCCGCGUCCCAAACGCCCACCGGACCCAUAUUUACUUUCUAUCUCUUUUGACUUUUAAUUUGUUUAUACCUUCCGGAAACCUGCCUCACCCAAUGUGAUACGGAAUCGCUAUUAUUUUUUAUUUAUUUUUAGAACACACUCAAGAACCUCCAGAAGCUAACCAGCUAACUAGCUACAAGCUAUUUAGUCAUUGUUCGUUUUUUUAACCUGGAUAACACUCGCCAGUCCAGCUUCCCUUCCCCAUCCACCGCUGCCCCCUGGACACUGAUCUCUUGGCUACAUAGCUGAUGCACGCUGGACUGUCCAUAAAUCACGGUACUCCAUUCUGCUUGUUUGUUUUAUCUGUUGGCCCCGUUGCCUAGUCUACGCCAUUUUACCUGCUGUUGUUGUGCUAGCUGAUUAGCUGUUGUCUCACCUACUGUUUUAGCUAGCUUUCCCAAU
ensembl:lncRNA